GUAGUCCACACUGUAAACGUUGAUUACUCGCUGUGUGCGAUAAACAGUACGCGGCCAAGCGAAAGCGCUAAGUAAUCCACCUGGGGAGUACGCCGGCAACGGUGAAACUCAAAGGAAUUGACGGGGGCCCGCACAAGCGGUGGAUUAUGUGGAUUAAUUCGAUGCAACGCGAAAAACCUUACCUGGCCUUGACAUGCCACUAACGAAGCAGAGAUGCAUUAGGUGCCCGAAAGGGAAAGUGGACACAGGUGCUGCAUGGCUGUCGUCAGCUCGUGUCGUGAGAUGUUGGGUUAAGUCCCGCAACGAGCGCAACCCUUGCCAAUAAUUGCCAUCAUUUAGUUGGGCACUUUAUUGGGACUGCCGGUGACAAACCGGAGGAAGGUGGGGAUGACGUCAAGUCCUCAUGGCCCUUAUGGCCAGGGCUUCACACGUAAUACAAUGGUCGGUACAGAGGGUUGCCAACCCGCGAGGGGGAGCCAAUCCCAGAAAGCCGAUCGUAGUCCGGAUUGCAGUCUGCAACUCGACUGCAUGAAGUCGGAAUCGCUAGUAAUCGCGGAUCAGCAUGUCGCGGUGAAUA
rnacentral:rRNA from 1 species